CGAGCGGACAGAUGGGAGCUUGCUCCCUGAUGUUAGCGGCGGACGGGUGAGUAACACGUGGGUAACCUGCCUGUAAGACUGGGAUAACUCCGGGAAACCGGGGCUAAUACCGGAUGCUUGUUUGAACCGCAUGGUUCAAACAUAAAAGGUGGCUUCGGCUACCACUUACAGAUGGACCCGCGGCGCAUUAGCUAGUUGGUGAGGUAACGGCUCACCAAGGCAACGAUGCGUAGCCGACCUGAGAGGGUGAUCGGCCACACUGGGACUGAGACACGGCCCAGACUCCUACGGGAGGCAGCAGUAGGGAAUCUUCCGCAAUGGACGAAAGUCUGACGGAGCAACGCCGCGUGAGUGAUGAAGGUUUUCGGAUCGUAAAGCUCUGUUGUUAGGGAAGAACAAGUACCGUUCGAAUAGGGCGGUACCUUGACGGUACCUAACCAGAAAGCCACGGCUAACUACGUGCCAGCAGCCGCGGUAAUACGUAGGUGGCAAGCGUUGUCCGGAAUUAUUGGGCGUAAAGGGCUCGCAGGCGGUUUCUUAAGUCUGAUGUGAAAGCCCCCGGCUCAACCGGGGAGGGUCAUUGGAAACUGGGGAACUUGAGUGCAGAAGAGGAGAGUGGAAUUCCACGUGUAGCGGUGAAAUGCGUAGAGAUGUGGAGGAACACCAGUGGCGAAGGCGACUCUCUGGUCUGUAACUGACGCUGAGGAGCGAAAGCGUGGGGAGCGAACAGGAUUAGAUACCCUGGUAGUCCACGCCGUAAACGAUGAGUGCUAAG
rnacentral:rRNA from 1 species